rnacentral:tRNA from 1 species
GUCCGUCGAUUUUAGAAAUCGUGAGGGUUCAAG